rnacentral:rRNA from 1 species
UAGGGAAUCUUCGGCAAUGGGGGCAACCCUGACCGAGCAACGCCGCGUGAGUGAAGAAGGUUUUCGGAUCGUAAAGCUCUGUUGUAAGAGAAGAACGUGUGUGAGAGUGGAAAGUUCACACAGUGACGGUAACUUACCAGAAAGGGACGGCUAACUACGUGCCAGCAGCCGCGGUAAUACGUAGGUCCCGAGCGUUGUCCGGAUUUAUUGGGCGUAAAGCGAGCGCAGGCGGUUUAAUAAGUCUGAAGUUAAAGGCAGUGGCUUAACCAUUGUUCGCUUUGGAAACUGUUAAACUUGAGUGCAGAAGGGGAGAGUGGAAUUCCAUGUGUAGCGGUGAAAUGCGUAGAUAUAUGGAGGAACACCCGUGGCGAAAGCGGCUCUCUGGUCUGUAACUGACGCUGAGGCUCGAAAGCGUGGGGAGCAAACAGG